CAGCAGCCGCGGGAAUACGUAGGUGGCAAGCGUUGUCCGGAUUUAUUGGGCGUAAAGCGAGCGCAGGCGGUUUCUUAAGUCUGAUGUGAAAGCCCCCGGCUCAACCGGGGAGGGUCAUUGGAAACUGGGAGACUUGAGUGCAGAAGAGGAGAGUGGAAUUCCAUGUGUAGCGGUGAAAUGCGUAGAUAUAUGGAGGAACACCAGUGGCGAAGGCGGCUCUCUGGUCUGUAACUGACGCUGAGGCUCGAAAGCGUGGGGAGCGAACAGGAUUAGAUACCCCCGUAGUCCCUGUCUCUUAUAC
rnacentral:rRNA from 1 species